ACCGGCGGACGGGUGAGUAAUGCACGAGAAUCUGCCUUUCAGUGGGGGAUAGCCUGGAGAAAUCCAGAUUAAUACCGCAUGUUGCCUACGGGUAAAAGGGGGGGACCGCAAGGCCUCUCGCUGAAAGAUGAGCUCGUGUGGGAUUAGCUAGUUGGUGAGGUAAUGGCUCACCAAGGCAACGAUCCCUAGCUGAUCUGAGAGGAUGAUCAGCCACACUGGGACUGAGAUACGGCCCAGACUCCUACGGGAGGCAGCAGUCAGGAAUAUUGGACAAUGGAGGCAACUCUGAUCCAGCUAUGCCGCGUGUGUGAAGAAGGUCUUCGGAUCGUAAAGCACUUUUAGUGAGGAAAAAAAGCCGGGCGAUAAUACCGCCCGGCAAUGAUACUACUCGCAGAAAAAGUACCGGCUAACUCCGUGCCAGCAGCCGCGGUAAUACGGAGGGUACAAGCGUUAAUCGGAAUUACUGGGCGUAAAGAGUGCGUAGGCGGUUUGGAAAGUUGGGUGUGAAAUCCCCGGGCUUAACCUGGGAAUGGCGCUCAAAACUCCCAAGCUAGAGUAAGGUAGAGGAUGAUGGAAUUUCCUGUGUAGCAGUAAAAUGCUUAGAUAUUGGAAGGAACAUUAGAGGCGAAGGCUAUCAUCUGGGCCUUUACUGACGCUGAGGCACGAAAGCGUGGGGAUCAAACAGGAUUAGAUACUCUGGUAGUCCACGCUCUAAACGAUGAGGACUAGU
rnacentral:rRNA from 1 species